rnacentral:rRNA from 1 species
UACGGAGGGUGCAAGCGUUAAUCGGAAUUACUGGGCGUAAAGCGCACGCAGGCGGUCUGUCAAGUCGGAUGUGAAAUCCCCGGGCUCAACCUGGGAACUGCAUUCGAAACUGGCAGGCUUGAGUCUCGUAGAGGGGGGUAGAAUUCCAGGUGUAGCGGUGAAAUGCGUAGAGAUCUGGAGGAAUACCGGUGGCGAAGGCGGCCCCUGGACGAACGACUGACGCUCAGGUGCGAAAGCGUGGGGAGCAAACAGGAUUAGAUACCCUGGUAGUCCACGCCGUAAACGAUGUCUAUUUGGAGGUUGUGCCCUUGAGGCGUGGCUUCCGGAGCUAACGCGUUAAAUAGACCGCCUGGGGAGUACGGCCGCAAGGUUAAAACUCAAAGAAAUUGGCGG